AUACGGAGGGUGCAAGCGUUAUCCGGAAUCAUUGGGUUUAAAGGGUCCGCGGGCGGAUUAAUAAGUCAGUGGUGAAAUCCUCUCGCUCAACGAGAGAACUGCCAUUGAAACUGUUAGUCUUGAAUUCGGUCGAAGUAGGCGGAAUGUGUCAUGUAGCGGUGAAAUGCAUAGAUAUGACACAGAACACCGAUAGCGAAGGCAGCUUACUAGACCUGGAUUGACGCUCAUGGACGAAAGCGUGGGGAGCGAACAGGAUUAGAUACCCUGGUAGUCC
rnacentral:rRNA from 1 species